CUUCAACAUCCACCCUACCCUUCUGCAAGUAGAGCACAAAUUCUACAAGACCAAGGACUAUGUUCAUGUCUUGUUCCCUGCACAGUGCUCGACACCUAAUAGGGACAUGAUAAAUAUUUAUGGAAUGAAUGAAUGAACUUAGUUAAUUCAAGACAUACUUCAAAGACCCUUUACAAAACCCAAUUGACACGGUUCAAGGACUAGGCAUGAAAGACAAAAAUUUUUUUUCACAGGAUGGAUGAGACUUGGCAGCAGUAUAUAUGGACAAAAAUCUGAGAAGUUUUAUUUUUCUCAAGCUUAAUGUGAGAAGAGGGCCAACUGUGCAAUUCAUCUGCUAAGUAAGCUAAUGCCAUCUCAGCCUAAAUUAAUAACUAAUAGAAGCAGUGUGUCCAGAGGAUAGGAAAUAAUGGUUCCCCUGCAGUUUUUACUGGUUAGACCACACCUAGAGGAAGGUUGUACAGGUCUGAGUGCACAUUUUAGGAAGAAAUACUGACAAAAUGAAUAGUCCAGAAACAACAUCUCAUAGGUGACAGCAGAAGGAAUUGGGAAGCAUGAGCACAUGCCUGGCAUUGCCAACCAGAGUAAGAGAGGUAUGUGGAGCAGUCCCACAUCCCAUCACCUUGGCCAACCUCAGCAGAGCCACCAAUUCAGCCAUCUCAGAUGCAUGAGCAAUGAACACUUGUUUUACACUCCUGAGGUUUUGUGAUUGUUGCCUAGUUCAAUUGCAAUAAUAGAUAAAUGACAAAAAGAGAAACAGUGGAAGAUCUAUUAAAUACAAGUGGAAGCAAAAUAGUUCCUUUUCCUUAGAAGAAGGGAAUGGAAAAACCGAUUCAAAUGGCUCUCAGGAAGAAAACUUUGGAUUCAGAAAAUUGUAGUUUUAUAAGGAUUGAAGCCAACCAUGAAAAGAACAGGCUUCAGUGAAUUUGAGCUUGGAAACCAACAAAGCUGGCCACCACACCACAGCUUCUCCUGAACCUGACUUGCUCUGGCCUAAUACUACUGAGCUUGAGAAUUCACUUAGGUCAAGGAUAUUAUCUGUUUUGUUUUUACGUCACUAUACAUUGAGAUAACAGUGCAGGAUCUGGUGCAUAGUAGGUAUGCAAUACAUAGUAGGUAAACCAAAAAUGAAUGGAGGAUGCCAAAACUGGCCUCCAGUCCCUGGAUCCAAGAGGGAAGAUGGCUGAAACUGGCUCAAGAAUCUUUCAUCAGAGGUCACCACCAGCGCACCAUGAAGUCUGAUCCACUGACACCAACAUCCCCUUGAAAUCAGGCUCCCUUCCUCCGUUCUUUCAUUGCUAUCAUUCAGAGUUACCACUUUCUUUUAAUCACCAUGAAGAGGGAUCCCACGUCCUUUACCAGGCCAUGAACAAAAGGAAGCAGGCUGGUUUUGGCCUGCAGGGUAUAGUUCCUUGACCUCGGCUUCAUCCAAACACUCUAAUUUCAUCUCGUAUUUGUAUCCUUGGAGUGCCCAAUGCCAGCAAUACAGCCUACCCCUGGAAGAUGCCCAGUAUUGACCAUUUGAAUUUGAUAAAAGAGAUCCAGAACUCAAAGAUCCUUGAUGCUUUUUAUCAAUUCCACUAAACGUCAAGGACAGGAAAUAAAAACAUUUUUCUCUUCCGACUCAAACACAAUACCCCUUUGUGAAGCUGCUAAAAAUCUAGAAAUGGCAAAUCUGGGAAAAUUUUCAGAACAGAAACCUGGCCAAGAUGUGAAGACCCAGACUGUGGCGCUAUGUUUGGGACUCAGAGGUCUGACACGGGAGCUGAGACUCAGACCAAAGAAUUAAGAUAGUAACAACAUGUUGUCAAUUAAUCAUGCUCAUAAGGUGGUCAAAAUGACCAUGAGGACACAUUUCAGUCUACCGGACAGUAUGCCAGCUUUCAUUCUUGUGCUCAAAGACAAAGAAGAAAGCUUUAAUUUGGUGCAAUAUGGGCCGAAAGUUUAGUUGUCAUAUAUAUUAAACUCAGCCUACAGUCUUACUUGAGU
rnacentral:lncRNA from 1 species